GGACCCGCACAAGCAGUGGAGCAUGUGGUUUAAUUCGAAGAUACGCGCAGAACCUUACCAACACUUGACAUGUUCGUCGCGAGACCAAGAGAUUGGUUUCUUCAUUCAGUUGGACGAAACACAGGUGCUGCAUGGCUGUCGUCAGCUCGUGUCGUGAGAUGUUGGGUUAAGUCCCGCAACGAGCGCAACCCACGUCUUUAGUUGCCAGCAUUUAGUUGGGCACUCUAGAGAGACUGCCGGUGAUAAACCGGAGGAAGGUGUGGAUGACGUCAAGUCAUCAUGCCCCUUACAUCCUGGGCUACACACGUACUACAAUGCUACGGACAAAGGGCUGCAAGUUCGCGAGGACAAGCAAAUCCCAUAAACCGUGGCUCAGUUCAGAUCGUAGGCUGCAACUCGCCUACGUGAAGGCGGAAUCGCUAG
rnacentral:rRNA from 1 species